rnacentral:rRNA from 1 species
AUUGAACCCUGGCGGCAUGCUAUACACAUGCAAGUCGAACCGCAGCGCGGGCUUCGCCCUGGCGCCGGGUGGCGCACGGGUGAGUACUGCAACGGCACGUGCCCAGUCGUCGUGGCUAGCACGGCGAAAGCCGCAUUACUACCCCAUCCCCCCUGCGGGUGACAGCGGGGGCCCGGAAGGACUCGCGCUAUUGGACCGGCCGAUGGCGCCUUAGCUAGUUGGUGGCGUAAAGGCUUACCAAGGCGACGAUCCGUAGCUGGUCUGAGAGGACGACCAGCCACACUGGGACUGAGACACGGUCCAGACUCCUACGGGAGGCAGCAGUGGGGAACUUUGGACAAGGGGGGCAACCUUGCUCCAGUCAGGCCGCGCGCAUGAAGAAGGCUGUCGGGUUGUAAAGCGAGGUUGGACGGGAAGAAAUCCUCUGGGCUCAUACAGUGGUGGGAUGAAGGUACCGGAAGAAUAAGGACGUGCUGACUACGUG